GCCAGCGGUGGACAAGCUGCGUAACGGUUCACACACUGAUGGCGCCUGGAGGUUUGGCGAAAUACUGACAGGAUGCGGCGCCAACGGGAGCGUAGGGCCAAGAUACCCUUUAUAUCAAAUUGUCUAUCCUGGAGCAGAAAAAUCCUGUCUUCAUUGCUAUAGCUACAGAUUCAGAAAUGAGCAUGUAACAAAUUCAGGCCAAAGAGAGGCAAAGGAAAUCAGAGAAACACUGCUCCUGAAAGCUUCUGUCACUCAAGAAUCCAUGAAACAUUCAUGAAGUUCACAUCAGAAGCCAAGCCAAGAGAAUAUGAGUUUAAGGUUUACCUAUAUGUCCAAUACAAGAGAAAAAAGAAUAUUCCACUUCUUUAGAAGAUUCUACUUUGAUCUCCUGAUUCCAAUUGUGAAAAAAAAUUGUGCCUAAAGAAUAUAGUCCCUUUAUAGAAUUGUUUUGAAACCUACCACAGGUAUUUCUACCCAGGUGCUAUUGUGGAGGUGCAUACCUAACAGUUUGAUAAUGUAGAGGAAGUGAUAGCUUUGUCUGGUGGAAUCUGGGUAAACCUCACAGAGGAGCUGUUAUUUGUUCUGGAUAUUGAACAGUGACAGUGGGAGAGAUUCAGUGGGAGAGAAAGAGGCAAGGAUUUUAAUGCAACUUGUUACACAAGAUGGUCCCAAACAUAUUUGACUUUUUAUUUUCAGAAAAGCUUAAUACAUAGUUUUGAAUAUGGAUUGUCCCAAAGAUAAAUGCAUGAAAAAAGUUGGAAAAGAGAAAUUGAAUUACAUCCUAAUUGUAGUGUUUUCUCAGGCAGAUCAAUCUCAGAAAGAGAUCAUUGACUUGGAAAACUGAAGAGUAAUUAUUCUAAAAAGGUUGUAACAGUUUACUCCUGUUAUUUUUUGUUUGCAAACUUCCAGGAUUAGUGAGUUGCAUAAAGUCACAUAAUUUAUUGGGUUGGUGCAAAAGUAAUUGUGGUUUUUGCCAUUAACAAAACUGCAAUUACUUUUGCAUCAGCCUAAUAUAAGUGAAUAAAUUAAUAUUAGAACACAGUUCUAAUUAAAAGGUUCUGCUGUGUUGUGUCCUGUGAUAACACAGAAAACAAUCAAAUGGAUAAUUACAGAAAAAUUUUGGAUAUAAGAUUAGCAGGUAAUUUUCUCCCUCCUUUCCUUCCAUCUUUCCAUCCUUCUUUGCUUCCUUUGCUUUCUUCUUUUCCUUUCUUUUUUGUUUCUCUCUCUCUCUCUUUUUUGCAAUUUGGAGAAGGAAGUACUUUAAAAGAAAAGUUAAAAGGCAGACAUGGCAUGAAGCCUAAUUGCAAGAUCUUUUUCAAACAUAUUAGUUUUAGGAAAUAGUACCUGAAUUUAAGUCCCUUAAAAUCGUCUAUGUCUUCACAUCCAAGUCUCUGUAUAUUUGCAGGGCUGUGUACAAUCUAGACCGGACAUACUUGACCUAAAAACAGAAGUAAUACCUGGGACAAAGCACGAUGUCCACCACAGUCUUCUCUCUUUAGUGUGUUAAGAUAGAAUUGAUUCCCAGAGUAGCCUGCCAUCACUAACUCUGAGGGAUGGUGGGCUAAUUUUGAUAGAAGGAGCAGAGGUAGUAGUUAGGAGGAAGGUGACUCAUCAUCAUUGUAUCAGCAGGCGUUGAUGACUGGAAAUAUCAGGGGGAACAGCCUGAAAGAGAAUGGCUUAAUUGGAAUCGAUAGUGGGAUCUUGGAAAUCAAUACAUGUGCACUGAACAGAAAAUGGUAUGCUAUAAUCUACUAUACACCGUAUGUGAAACCCAAGCUCCAAAUUUUUCAGCCCAUGCAAUGUCCAAUGAAAUUUCUUAGUUACAUUAUAAUUGCAAUGUAAGUGUAUUUGAAGAAAAAAAAGUGAAAGAAAAAGUAACUAAAGUGGAAAUGCAAAACUUUGUUUUUAUUAAUGUUAUAAUUUAUUUUGAUCAACUUGCUGUUCUUAAAAUUGACCAAUCUUCUUCCCUUCCAUGCCUCUUCCAUGGUUUAUAGGAUUAUUUUUCAGGGCUGAUCAGUUGGUGUUACAUGUGACUACUAUGCUUAAUGCUAUCUGGCUUCUAACUUUAAGCACUGAAAAAAAGUCCUUCAUAUUUCUCAGUGUGUGAUUGAACUGAGAUGACCAUCCUAAGCUUCCUCAUUACAUAAAUCCCUACCUUCUCCAGAAGCAACAAAUGGAGAUGAGAAUAGCAUAUGUUACUUCUCAGCCAGAUUCCAUAGCCUUUUCUCCAAGAUAUUUUUCCAAAGUUGCCCUUUUUCUGAAUCCCUUGCAAGCAAACAAACAACAAAACAAUGGGUAAUAAAAUAAUUGUUUAACUUUCAUGUAUGUGCUCUGAGAUUGAUGUGAUUUUGAUGAAUAACUAUAUUAAAAGACAAAUGGGAGUAGUGAUUUCGUGAAAAGCCCAUGCCUCUGCCCAUGGAAUAUGUGGCUUGGCCUGGAGCUCCUAUUUUACUUAUAUAUUUCUAAGCAGAAUUAUUCAAGAAUGUCUCUUAUUACAGGUUUUGAAACUUGGACAGCCAACAAAAAGGAAGCUAAUAAAUAAAUUUGUCAGAACACGAUUCUCAGUUUCACUUAUUUUGAAUUAAAGGUAACCUGGAAAAUAGAUUAGGAAAACAGCCUAUAAUCAGAGGAGUGACCCCAGUGAGACCCUGUCAUUAAAACUUUAGUGUUGAGCCUGCAAACCUCUGUUCCUCUGAUUAGGCAAUUUACUCCAUUUCCACCUUUCUGUCUGCCAAAACAUUUAGUGGCAAAACAUUUUCUAUUUCUCUAGACUCAUAAAAUGUUGUUUUGAAAAAAAGUAAACAGAAUGGAUUACCUUUUAAAGCUAUCUAUCAUAAUGUAAUCAGAAAACAUGAAGAUUUAAUAGAUAAUGUAAAGAGGCAAAGGCAGCAGAUGUUAUUUAGUUGAGCAGAAGGUCACAGACCUCUGUUGAGGAUUGAAAGCCUGAGGUAUGUGCCUUUGUUCCUCAGUGUGUGUGGAUCAGAGUGAUUACUGAUAUCAGUUAGCAACAUGGUGGAGGGGACAAACUGGGGCUGCAUUUUCACUAUGUUUAUUAUUGCUCAAGGUCAAAAAGUGACUGUGUAGUGCCUCAGUUUUUACACCUUCUGUUAUCAAUAUUUUUUUCUAUUACCUUACAAGUUUAUUUUGAUGCUGUAAUGAUGAGACAGUGUUUUGAAAAGUUCUAAAUAAAUAAAGGGUAUUCUCUAACUUUUAAA
rnacentral:antisense_RNA from 1 species